rfam:Prevotella sp. S7 MS 2 contig020, whole genome shotgun sequence.
GCGGUAAUAGCUCAGUUGGUAGAGCGUUGGCUUCCCAAGCCAAAAGUCGCGAGUUCGAGUCUCGUUUACCGCU